rnacentral:misc_RNA from 1 species
UUUGUUUCUCUUUUUUAUUGAGAAUUAGUUUCUCUAGAUCUCUUUAUUCUUUCUGUUCUACAUCACUUACAUUAUUGGUUCAAUGGAGAAAUUUGUUUGUCACUUUGCUUUUUAAAUUUUGUGGAGGUUUUUAGUUUUUUCAUGUGUGAUUCAUCUUGAGAGUUGACUCCACAAAAGUUCUGAAGGUUAGUGGUUAGGGUAAUAGAUAUGUUCAUUGUAGCAUGCUUUUUGAUGGGAGUUGAUAGACCUAACUAAGAAAGUGACCAAGUGAGGAAGAUAUAAGCACAGAAAGACUUGUGAUCUAUAGUUUUAAGCCUUCAGGUCAAGUUGGUGCCCUCUAUGGGUCAGUCCACUCCUUGAUGCUCUUUUAAACAUAUG